rnacentral:tRNA from 1 species
AUCCGUUUAAUAUAAUAUCAUUAUAUUUGACUUCCAAUCAAAAAAUCUAGAAAUAGAACGGAUAAUA